AUCACUUCUUGGCCUUUCGGCUAGGAUCAAAUGUAGUAU
rnacentral:snRNA from 1 species